rnacentral:lncRNA from 1 species
UAUCCAGUCCAUGUGCAAUGAAUCCUUGGAGCAUUAGCUGUGUGGCCUUCCUACUGAUAAUCUGCAGUUAUCACAGUAAAGAGAUCUCUGUUCCUAGGUCAGGCCUUAGCAAUUACAAAUACAGGAAAUAAAGGGGUACUCAAUGCUGAAGACUUAAUUUUGGGUACCUACAAAGUCCUGGGAAGGGAAAAAGAAGACCUUGGCAUUUGUAUUUGCAUAACCAGAGAUGGAAUGUUUGAGGCUUUUAGGCAUAAAGAUUAAUUAGAUUUUAUCAUAUAAAGAUUAGGGCAAAUUAUUUUUUUUUCCAGUUCAUUCUUAACAUGUUAAGGGACAAAUUUUAAUGAAUAAAAAUUUAAAGGCCUUAAAACUUUCUUUUGGAUUCACAUUUCCACUCUGGUAUAAUCCACUCUGGUGUAGUCUGCCCUUUAUGACAGAGAAAGCCUUUGAAAAUAUUGUCCCAGGGAAUGAAAAAUCUUAAUGAUGAUCUAUGGAAAUGUCUCUCAUUCUCUAUUACAGCCCUUUGGGCCCUCCUAUAGAUUCUCUGUGAAUUUAAGUUUGAAAUCAUUUGGUGUUUGCAUGAAAAAUAAUUCUUACUAUUCAUUUAAAUAAUUCUUAAAUGUGGUCUUAAAUUGCAAGAGAGAACAAAGCCAGAAAAAGGGGAACCUUGUAGAUUGACCAAAUAUUUAUUCUUUAUUUUCAGCAUCACAAAUCUAAACCAUUUCAAGCUAAUACAACAACCUGAGUGAGUAGAAAUUCCUUAAGGUUUAGAUUUCUGCUUUUAGUCACAUCUUGAAGCAGAUGUUUAUGACAUAUUUGAAGAUGAUCCACUGAGUUUCCUAUAAAGUAAUAGAAUCCUAACUAUAGUGGUUCUUUAAGAACCACUGAAAAAACAGAAUUGCAGUGCAGGGAACAAAGCUUAAAAUGUGUUUCCUCUGGAAGCCAAGAUGCUAAAAAAGGGGUCACUAAUAGUGUGACUGAAGUCCGUCUCUAGAAUGGCUAUCUGUUAGAUAGCAGAAAUAUUUAGAAUGUAUAUGGCAUUUCUAAUAUUUUUACAAAAAUAAUUUUAAAUCAUGUAACUCGAAUUUUUUUUAAAAAGUCUGUUUUCUUUUUGGAAAACUGGCACAAUAAAAAUAACACUAAUAUAAUUCCAUUGUAUAUGCAUGUGCAUUGAACCCAGAGUGGGUAUACUAAAGAUAGUUCAUGCAAAUAACUUAUGGGAAGUUUGGCUAUUUUUUCAUGUAUGUUUAUAAAUAUAUUUAGUCAUCUACUGUGACCUUGGUAGCACAGAAGCAUUUUGUUAGCUGUAUCAUUAAUUCUAAAAAUCAAAUUCUUGGCAUAGUAGGCUAUGAGAGCUUUUUGUUACUUGGUAUUUUGGCUAAGAAAAUUAUUUCUUGCACUUUCUAUUUGUAAAGAUGUUAUAACACAAUGCACCCACUUAAUGCAGCUUUUCUUUAGAGAAUUUAUUACCCUAAAAUAGUGAGAACCACUGUUCAAACUAACUAGCUACCAAGUGACUUCUAACUCAUGAAGAAAAUUUGUAUUUAAGAGCAAGUUCAAAUGUAGCAGGCUCUCUUCUGAGAGUAUUCUGGAUACCACGGAAAGUUUCAUUUAUAUAUUGCUUACAAGUACGUGGUAAUUUGAACUUCAGUAGGUGAUAUGUGCAAGGAGAAAAAGUAGGUCAAGGAGAAAGUUGGUUAGUGCAGAGGACUGACUUAGCAUCAGUCUGUGAAAUUUCAUUAAAGUAGCACUAAGGCCUGGCUGUUUGCUUAGCAUGUAAAUGCUGCAGUGUCCAAGAAAAUGCCUCCUAUGCCUUAGAAAAUUUGCUGAAGGCUUCCUGUUACUGGUGGAGUAGAAAAGCAAUAGCCUUUGAGACUCCAAAGAGAGUAGCCCCCUUAGGGUUUUCAUACUGAAGAACCUUGUGGAGUACUGUGAAACAUUGUUGAACUUUAUGCAAAUUAUACUGCACUGGAUUUUAAGAUUUUAUGGGGAGAGAGUAGAGCAGAGUGGGGAAGUAAUGAUAAAAGAUAAAUACGUAAACUUGUACUAUAUUUUAAGCAAGGAAUGAAACAAAUUCCCUAACAGGAAUUCCCUGUCAGCACUGUGAAGUUUGGUCAAGUUCUGCCUAAUGGGUUGGCUUGCUGAUUCCUCUUAAACCUCUAGGAAAUCCUUUCUAAGACAGCAAAACAAACGUUAGUUUGAGUACUACUAUUUCACCACCCUGCUCCAUCCCCCUACUCUCAACGAAAGAAAAGCAUUCCCAAACUAUAGGCAAAAGAAAUGUGUUCUCAGUCCAUUAAUUUUUCAUCUGCUAUGAUCUCUGUUUAUUUUCUUUUAGAGACAGAGUCUCACUAUGUUGCCCAGGCUGGUCUCAAACUCCUGGGCUCAAGCGAUCCUCCCACCUAGGACUCCUAAAGUUACAGGUGUGAGCCACUGUGCUUGGCCUAGAACUCUGUUUUUGGCAUUUCUUUCUAAAUGAGUACAUUGGAAGAACAUUUAGGUUUCCAGGCUCCUCAUAAUUUCUGAAUGGGACCCGCUCUGCUCUGCCUCUGAAAGGAGGAGAAAAGGCUGAGGGUUCAAAGACAGAAAAGUCAAUGUAGCAGAAAUUUGAUUUCCUUCAGAUGGACAUAGUCUGAAAGAAAUCUAUCCAGCUGUUCUCUAUGGUGCUUAUAUGAUGGGUGACAGCUGUCCCCAUCUACCUGUCCCUGGCACUGUGCCUUCACACUGGUCACUGUGAAAAGCAGAUCACACUGGACUCAGAGGCCAGAAUCCAGGACAAGAUCCCCCUUCUCAUCUUGAGCCCAUCACAUCUUUGUAUAGCUGUUAAUGUAGCAUUUACUUCUCUAUGGGAAACUCUUGGGUUUUUAACCCAAGAAGAAAUUGUAAAGCAUUUAAACUAGUCAGAAAAUAAGAUUCUGAUGGUAGCGAUCAAAUAAAGGAAAAUUUCACUUCCUCUCAGUUGAUAUUGAUUGAUAGCAAGGAUCAACUAUGCCCACCUCUUCCUAAGUUUCUAAAGGCUACCAUAAUAUUUGUAAACAACAAAUUUAUCUAAUAUUUUUUACAACUUGCUAAUCAAGGAGGAUUCAUAUUAAAACAGACAAUCAGUUUCUAAAAUGUUAUCCCUGAAAGGGAAUGGAAUAGAGUAUUUUUAGCUGUAAGAACCUACCAGUCUGUUUUUUCCCUUUGAAAAAAACUAAUGUUUGAGAUUUGUGUCUUUUCAUCUGAAGCAGUUACUCCAUUAAUAGUAAAGAUGCCUCGGGAAAGUCAGUGAACCAGAAUAGUGCUCUUGCACCACUGAGGGUGCUAGACUGGCUUUGUGCAUCUUAUUUCCUAAGAAUAUCAGUUUUUAUUAUGACCUUAAUUAUAAAUACCUAUAUAUAGGAGUAGGAUU